GACGAACGCUGGCGGCGUGCUUAACACAUGCAAGUCGAACGGAAAGGCCCUGCAUUUGUGGGGUGCUCGAGUGGCGAACGGGUGAGUAACACGUGAGUAACCUGCCCUUGACUUUGGGAUAACUUCAGGAAACUGGGGCUAAUACCGGAUAGGAGCUCCUGCUGCAUGGUGGGGGGUGGAAAGUUUCGGCGGUUGGGGAUGGACUCGCGGCUUAUCAGCUUGUUGGUGGGGUAGUGGCUUACCAAGGCUUUGACGGGUAGCCGGCCUGAGAGGGUGACCGGCCACAUUGGGACUGAGAUACGGCCCAGACUCCUACGGGAGGCAGCAGUGGGGAAUAUUGCACAAUGGGCGGAAGCCUGAUGCAGCAACGCCGCGUGCGGGAUGACGGCCUUCGGGUUGUAAACCGCUUUCGCCUGUGACGAAGCGUGAGUGACGGUAAUGGGUAAAGAAGCACCGGCUAACUACGUG
rnacentral:rRNA from 1 species